rnacentral:rRNA from 1 species
CUGGACCUCUCGGGGUUACAGCCUUGCUGAAUUAUUCACCCUUGUCUUUUGCGUACUUCUUGUUUCCUUGGUGGGUUCGCCCACCACUAGGACAAACAUAAACCUUUUGUAAUUGCAAUCAGCGUCAGUAACAAAUUAAUAAUUACAACUUUCAACAACGGAUCUCUUGGUUCUGGCAUCGAUGAAGAACGCAGCGAAAUGCGAUAAGUAGUGUGAAUUGCAGAAUUCAGUGAAUCAUCGAAUCUUUGAACGCACAUUGCGCCCUUUGGUAUUCCAAAGGGCAUGCCUGUUCGAGCGUCAUUUGUACCCUCAAGCUUUGCUUGGUGUUGGGCGUCUUGUCUCUAGCUUUGCUGGAGACUCGCCUUAAAGUAAUUGGCAGCCGGCCUACUGGUUUCGGAGCGCAGCACAAGUCGCACUCUCUAUCAGCAAAGGUCUAGCAUCCAUUAAGCCUUUUUUUCAACUUUUGACCUCGGAUCAGGUAGGGAUACCCGCUGAACUUAAGCAUAUCAUA